UACGUAGGGACCAAGCGUUGUUCGGAUUUACUGGGCGUAACGGGCGCGUAGGCGGCGUGACAAGUCACUUGUGAAAUCUCCGGGCUUAACUCGGAACGGUCAAGUGAUACUGUCGUGCUAGAGUGCAGAAGGGGCAAUCGGAAUUCUUGGUGUAGCGGUGAAAUGCGUAGAUAUCAAGAGGAACACCUGAGGUGAAGACGGGUUGCUGGGCUGACACUGACGCUGAGGCGCGAAAGCUAGGGGAGCAAACGGG
rnacentral:rRNA from 1 species